rnacentral:tRNA from 1 species
GCGCUAGUGGUGAAGGGAGUAGCAUCACAGCCCGAAAAGUAGAAGAUGCGGGUUCGAGUCCCGCCUGGCGUU